AUUGAACGCUGGCGGCAGGCCUAACACAUGCAAGUCGAACGAGUGGCGGACGGGUGAGUAAUGUCUGGGGAUCUGCCUGAUGGAGGGGGAUAACUACUGGACACGGUAGCUAAUACCGCAUACCAUCAGAUGAACCCAGAUGGGAGUAGCUUGUAGGUGGGGUAACGGCUCACCUAGGCGACGAUCCCUAGCUGGUCUGAGAGGAUGAUCGGCAACACUGGGACUGAGGCACGGCCCAGACUCCUACGGGAGGCAGCAGUGGGGAAUAUUGCACAAUGGGCGCAAGCCUGAUGCAGCCAUGCCGCGUGUAUGAAGAAGGCCUUCGGGUUGUAAAGUACUUUCAGCGGGGAGGCGUUACCGGCAGAAGAAGCACCGGCUAACUCCGUGCCAGCAGCCGCGGUAAUUC
rnacentral:rRNA from 1 species